AGAAUCAACGCUGGCGGCGUGCCUAACACAUGCAAGUCGAACGGGAAAGUGGAGCAAUCCAUGAGUAUAGUGGCGACCGGGUGAGUAACACGUGACUACCUGCCCUUGAGUGGGGGAUAACCUCGGGAAACCGAGGCUAAUACCGCAUAACAUCGAAAGAUCAAAGGAGCAAUCCGCUUUUGGAGGGGGUCGCGGCUGAUUAGCUAGUUGGUAAGGUAAUGGCUUACCAAGGCGAAGAUCGGUAUCCGGCCUGAGAGGGCGCACGGACACACUGGAACUGAAACACGGUCCAGACUCCUACGGGAGGCAGCAGUGGGAAUUUUGCGCAAUGGGGGAAACCCUGACGCAGCAACGCCGCGUGGAGGAUGAAGCCCCUUGGGGCGUAAACUCCUUUCGACCGGGACGAUAAUGACGGUACCGGUGGAAGAAGCACCGGCUAACUCUGUGCCAGCAGCCGC
rnacentral:rRNA from 1 species